rnacentral:rRNA from 1 species
ACGGGAGGCAGCAGUGGGGAAUAUUGGGCAAUGGGGGAAACCCUGACCCAGCAACGCCGCGUGAGGGAAGAAGGUUUUCGGAUCGUAAACCUCUGUCCUUGGUGAAGAGCAAGAGACGGUAACCAGGGAGGAAGCCCCGGCUAACUACGUGCCAGCAGCCGCGGUAAUACGUAGGGGGCAAGCGUUGUCCGGAAUGAUUGGGCGUAAAGGGCGCGUAGGCGGCUGUCUAAGUCUGGAGUGAAAUUCCCGCUUUUAAGGUGGGAACUGCUUUGGAUACUGGUCAGCUUGAGUGCAGGAGAGGUUAGUGGAAUUCCCAGUGUAGCGGUGAAAUGCGUAGAGAUUGGGAGGAACACCAGUGGCGAAGGCGACUAACUGGACUGUAACUGACGCUGAGGCGCGAAAGUGUGGGGAGCAAACAGGAUUAGAUACCCUGGUA